CAGGGAGUAGGGCACCCUCAGAGAAUGUGGCUUUGGACUUCAUCACAGCUGAGGCCUUUUGUGUCACUUAAGAUCUAAACUUGUAACCAUGCUAGAUGUGUUUCUAAUGUGACAACAUCACGAACCACAAGUCCAGAAGCCUAAUCCUUAAUCCUACCUCCUCAUGAUGAAGUCUCAUGCUCUGUGCUCAACGUGGUUAGCUGCACAAGAUGUAAACCAAAGCUUCACUGAACCCUCGACCCAAAUCGGUAACUCAAGUGCGUCAAUCAUAAUGAACCUCCC
rnacentral:lncRNA from 1 species